AUUUGGAGAGGGCGCUUCGGGGCGCGCCGCCGGUCCGAGUGCCUUGGAACAGGCCGCCGUGGAGGGUGAGAGCCCCGUACGCGGCCGGCGGACCGUCCCCGCACGAAGCCCCUUCGACGAGUCGAGUUGUUUGGGAAUGCAGCUCCAAGCGGGUGGUAAAUUCCAUCUAAAGCUAAAUACAGGCCGGAGACCGAUAGCGCACAAGUAGAGUGAUCGAAAGAUGAAAAGCACCUUGAAAAGGGGGUCAAACAGCACGUGAAAUUGCUGAGAGGGAAGCGCUGGCCCCCAGACCUGCCCCGCGGGCGGGCCCCCGAAGCCUCCGGGCUCCGGGGAACCCCGUCCGCGUGCAGGCCAGCACGGGUUCGGGCGGCGGGACAAAGCGCCCGGGAAUGUAACUCCCCCCGGGGAGCCUUAUAGCCCGAGCGCGCAUGCCGCCCGCCCGGACCGAGGACCGCGCCGACGGCGAGGGUGCUGGCGUAAUGGGGGUCAGCGGCCCGUCUUGAAACACGGACCAAGGAGUCUAACGUCCCCGCGAGUGUUCGGGCGUCAAACCCCCGGCGCGGAAUGAAAGUGAACGGAGGUGGGACCCCCGCGAGGGGCGCACCAUCGACCGAUCCAGAUGUCUUCGGAUGGAUUUGAGUACGAGCGCGGCCGUUGGGACCCGAAAGAUGGUGAACUAUGCCUGGGUAGGGUGAAGCCAGAGGAAACUCUGGUGGAGGCUCGCAGCGGUUCUGACGUGCAAAUCGAUCGUCAAACCUGGGCAUAGGGGCGAAAGACUAAUCGAACCAUCUAGUAGCUGGUUCCUGUCGAAGUUUCCCUCAGGAUAGCAGUCGCGCGGGCGGUUUUAUGAGGUAAAGCGAAUGAUUAGAGGCCUUGGGGGUGCAACACCCUUAACCUAUUCUCAAACUUUAAAUAUGUAAGAAGUCCCUGUUGCUUCGGUGAAC
rnacentral:rRNA from 1 species